GGGGCUGUAGCUCAGUGGUAGAGCGCUUGCCUAGCAUGUGUGGGGAGCACUGGGCUCGAUUUUCAGCACCA
rnacentral:tRNA from 1 species